rnacentral:rRNA from 1 species
GACGAACGCUGGCGGCGUGCCUAAUACAUGCAAGUCGAGCGAAGUUUUUCUGGUGCUUGCACUAGAAAAACUUAGCGGCGAACGGGUGAGUAACACGUAAAGAACCUGCCUCAUAGACUGGGACAACUAUUGGAAACGAUAGCUAAUACCGGAUAACAGUAUUUCUCGCAUGAGAGAUCUUUAAAAGUUUGUUAUGCUAACACUAUGAGAUGGCUUUGCGGUGCAUUAGCUAGUUGGUGGGGUAAAGGCCCACCAAGGCGACGAUGCAUAGCCGACCUGAGAGGGUGAUCGGCCACACUGGGACUGAGACACGGCCCAGACUCCUACGGGAGGCAGCAGUAGGGAAUCUUCCGCAAUGGGCGAAAGCCUGACGGAGCAACGCCGCGUGAGUGAAGAAGGAUUUCGGUUCGUAAAGCUCUGUUGUUAGGGAAGAAUGGAUAUGUAGUAACUAUACAUGUAAGAGACGGUACCUAACCAGAAAGCCACGGCUAACUACGUG